AUUUUAUAAAUCUGAUACUCUCCACUGGGGGGCGUUUGUGCUGAGUUCCGGUUAUGUUCCGUCCUCCGCACGCGUCAUACCACACCGGGAGCAUCUCAGAAG